rnacentral:rRNA from 1 species
UGGAAGUUGGGGGUACCUGAAGUACCGAUACGACCGGCAAGGAGUCGCCUAGGGUAAACCGAUAACUGGCGCU